UGCAGUUAACAAAAAUCCCCACUUUCAAGUAUAUGAAGUUGAUUGCAGUAACUGUUUCCAGGUUUUUUUGUUUGGUACAUUGUUGUAAACUUCUCAUUUGCCCUCGUCGUAAUCUCAGUGACACAGCGCCAUAACCCUUGCAGGUUGAAUACGUUAUUACUGUAACAGAGUUAUUUGAGAUUAGAUGAAAUACUCUGAGCUAAAGAUGCAGCAAAUAAACAUAUUACUAUGAAUAACAGCAAUUGUAAUUGGGUCACAACAAAAGAAUGUUAUCACACCGGCAGUGCAUGGGUGACAGAGAAAGUUAGGCACAUUUGAAACGUGGUGUACUGGAGUUGUAGCUACAGUAUUGAUGUUGGUUGCAAUGAACGAAUGAAACUGUGUAGCUGUAGCAGAAACAUGUGUGUUGGAAUUCUGAAAUGAAUGAAACUUUUUGAAGGAAGAUGCGUGUGGUGUUGUGGCAAUGUUUACGUGCGAUACGACAGAAAUGUAGUAGCACACACGUAUACACAAUGCAGGAAAAGUUUCAAAAGCAUUUUCGUGCCGACUAUAGGUACAAGAAAAAUAUUGUGGAAUUAGAAACAUCUGCCUUAACUCAUGUGAAAUGUAUACUCGAACAUAACUAUGAGGAUUGUGAAAAAGUGUUAUCAGAAUUGACAACCGAACAGUUUCCAUUAUUUUUAUAUUUGUUAAAUAGUAGAGACGUGCUGUUCAGGAUCGAAAAUAUUCGUUUCUGGGAACAAGUUGACAUUGAAUGCUGGAGGAGGUUUAAAAACAUGAGUCCUGAAGACAUUCUUAAAGUAUUGGAUGGAUGGAUGUAUUGUCUCCCUAACAGAAUAACACAGUUAUUAUUUUAUUCACGCACACUUAAUAGAAUGAAGCUCUGGUUUACAUUCAGAGUUUUGUCUGUUCAGCAGUGGGUGCUAUGUGUCUUUUUCAUUGGUCUUGGAAAGAGGAAUAACACAAAGUUAAUGAGGAAAGCACUUAUGGCUUGUGACUGUCAAGAAAUAGUAAAUUCCUUGACACUGUUGGAUUUGUGCAUUGUUCUAAAUGCAAUCUACAAAACUAGCACAAGGGUUCAAGAUUUAAGCCUGCCUGUUGCAGUAACUCAUAAAUUUAAGAAUGAUUUGGAUAAUAUUAUCUUGGAAACUGAUGUGUUUACAACAAUAAUAAAAUUUCUUAGACAGGCAGGAUAUCAUGAUAAUCAUCUGAUGAAUAACAUCAUUGAACUGAUAAUGUCACACCAGUCAGUAUUAAGUACUAUGAACUUUACUGCAGAAGUUCAUCUUCUUGCAUUCUAUGCCGAAGCUCGUUUUUAUGAACGUGAUUUUAUUUCAACUUUGAUUGGUGAGUGCCUCAGAAACCUGGUGUUGCAUGGCACUAAGACUUCUUUCAGAUCGUACUUAACUGAACAUCCAAGACCCAAGGAUAUAACUAGAUUUUUGUGGGCCGUGAGUUAUCUUGGUUGUGAUUUAGAUAAGAGAGACCUUGAUGAAAUAAUUGUGCCUCAGAUUAAACAAAGAAUGCUUCACCAUGAAUACCGGAAUCAACCUGAAGAAGUAAUUGGUAGUUUACUGUAUCUCUGGAUGCUUGGAGCAAGACCAGUAACAUUAUUUGAAAAGAUGGUGACAGUUGAUUUAACGCGAAGACUAAAAGGGAAACGGCGAAUUCGGCAUAAUUCACGUUUUUGCUUGUUACUGUCUGCUGUUCAGAUAGAGGGACCAAACAUUGUUCAAACUGAACUUUUGAAGGAAAUGAAUUUGUUGAAAAUUUGGAAACCAAAGUUGGAACUUCAUUUGCAAAGAAGAGAGCAACUCUGCAAUGUUUUAAUGGCCAUGAAAAAUCUUGCUGGAACUUUAAAACUAAGCAGAGUAAAAUGUGAAUUUAGUGUGCCACAUAUUUACAUAGCAGGAAUAACAGCUGAAGCAUCGGAUGGUGCCAGAUUUGCACCUGUUGGUCAAAAUUGGAACUAAUUUUUUCCAGUGUAAAUUGGUUCCCCAUUCACACAUCAGAAUUUCAGUGCUGUACAAUAAUUACCAGCCCACACUGGAUCUCUCACACAGAUAAAUGUAGAAGUACUGGAUUCAACUGUUUGUUUACACAAAUCUGAGUUACCAGAUGGCCUCAUGAAAUUUAAGUUACAACUAUCAGAGGCCCUUGGAUAUACAAACAUAGUGAUGCUAGAACAAAACCUUGAC
rnacentral:misc_RNA from 1 species